ensembl:lncRNA
CGGGCGUGGCACAGGGGCUCUACGGCGCCCCCUGGAACACAGUCAGAAAUGUUGAUGUAUAGUUCAAACAUACUUGCACGUAUUCAUAUGAAACUCAGUACACAUAUAGAUCUCAUCAAGCCAAACAACUUUCGUAUUGCAUGUCAUAGGCUCCGCCCAACAGGAAGUUGGCUAUUUAGGGUUUAGUAUUCUUAUUUUUCGUCAAAGUUGUGGGGGCUUUUGGGGCCCUUAACAUGCUCAAAAACUCUUGAAAAUUUGCACACACCUUAGAAUCUGUGGCCAUUAGGAGGCUGCAGAGGCUGAGACCCGGGCGUGGCACAGGGGCUCUACGGCGCCCCCUGGAACACAGUCAGAAAUGUUGAUGUAUAGUUCAAACAUACUUGCACGUAUUCAUAUGAAACUCAGUACACAUAUAGAUCUCAUUGUGCCGAACAACUUUCGUAUUGCAUGUCAUAGGCUCCGCCCAACAGGAAGUCAGCUAUUUAGAGCUAUGUAAAAAGUGCAUGCUCUGGAAUUUGAUAUACUUGUCAUAGGUUUUUUACCCGAUUGCCACCAAACUUGGUCAACAUGAUCUCAAGACAUUGGGGAUGCAAAAUUGCCAGGGGAUUUUUGAUAUCUCGAACGGUUUGCUUGUGGCGAGGCGUUGAAAUUAUGGCGAGAAAUGAGAAACAGGAAGUGUCUAAUAACAUCCACAUACAUUUCCUGAUUUUAAUUAAACUUCAUCAAUUUGUUCGUUGUAUGAUGCCGAUCGCAUAUAUGUGACUAUUAGGAGUCCAAAUUAUAGCGCCACCAAC